UACGGAGGGUGCAACCGUUGCUCGGAAUCAUUGGGCGUAAAGCGUGUGUAGGCGGCUUGUUAAGUCGGGUGUGAAAGCCCUGGGCUCAACCCAGGAAGUGCACUCGAAACUGGCGAGCUUGAGUACGGGAGAGGGUCGCGGAAUUCCCGGUGUAGAGGUGAAAUUCGUAGAUAUCGGGAGGAACACCAGUGGCGAAGGCGGCGACCUGGACCGAUACUGACGCUGAGACACGAAAGCGUGGGGAGCAAACAGG
rnacentral:rRNA from 1 species